rnacentral:rRNA from 1 species
GACGAACGCUGGCGGCGUGCUUAACACAUGCAAGUCGAGCGAUGAAGUUCCUUCGGGAAUGGAUUAGCGGCGGACGGGUGAGUAACACGUGGGUAACCUGCCUCAUAGAGGGGAAUAGCCUUCCGAAAGGAAGAUUAAUACCGCAUAAGAUCGUAGUUUCGCAUGAAACAGCAAUUAAAGGAGUAAUCCGCUAUGAGAUGGACCCGCGUCGCAUUAGCUAGUUGGUGAGGUAACGGCUCACCAAGGCGACGAAGCGUAGCCGACCUGAGAGGGUGAUCGGCCACAUGGGGACUGGGACACGGCCCAGACUCCUCCGGGGGGCAGCAGUGGGGAAUAUUGCACAAUGGGGGAAACCCUGAUGCAGCAACGCCGCGUGAGUGAUGACGGUCUUCGGAUUGUAAAACUCUGUCUUCAGGGACGAUAAUGACGGUACCUGAGGAGGAAGCCACGGCUAACUACGUGCCAGCAGCCGCCGUAA